UACGUAGGGGGCGAGCGUUGUUCGGAGUUACUGGGCGUAAAGGGCGCGUAGGCGGCGAUCCAAGUUAGGCGUGAAAGCCCCGGGCUCAUCCUGGGAACAGCGCUUAAGACUGGGUUGCUUGAGUGCGGGAGAGGUGAGUGGAAUUCCCAGUGUAGAGGUGAAAUUCGUAGAUAUUGGGAAGAACACCAGUGGCGAAGGCGGCUCACUGGCCCGCAACUGACGCUGAGGCGCGAAAGCGUGGGGAGCAAACAGG
rnacentral:rRNA from 1 species